GGAGCUUCUGCUCUAAAAGUAUUCAGUUCAUUAAUACAGAGAUUAGAGUGGACCCUGAGCAAGAAUGGCCUGCAAAUUUAUGAAUUGUUCCAUAUUUUU
rnacentral:snRNA from 1 species